AACGAACGCUGGCGGCAGGCCUAACACAUGCAAGUCGAGCGAAGUCUUCGGACUUAGCGGCGGACGGGUGAGUAACGCGUGGGAAUAUGCCCUUCUCUACGGAAUAGCCUCGGGAAACUGGGAGUAAUACCGUAUACGCCCUUUGGGGGAAAGAUUUAUCGGAGAAGGAUUAGCCCGCGUUGGAUUAGGUAGUUGGUGGGGUAAUGGCCUACCAAGCCGACGAUCCAUAGCUGGUUUGAGAGGAUGAUCAGCCACACUGGGACUGAGACACGGCCCAGACUCCUACGGGAGGCAGCAGUGGGGAAUCUUAGACAAUGGGCGCAAGCCUGAUCUAGCCAUGCCGCGUGAUUGAUGAAGGCCUUAGGGUUGUAAAGAUCUUUCAGCUGGGAAGAUAAUGACGGUACCAGCAGAAGAAGCCCCGGCUAACUCCGUGCCAGCCGCCGCAGUAACAC
rnacentral:rRNA from 1 species